UAGAGACCUGGCUGGUGGAGCCCAAUUCUAUUGUAGGAGUUCGUCUGUGAUCCAUCCACUGUAGAAGUUCGGAUGGAGUCCGACUCUUGUAGCAGCUCGGAUGAAAUUCGAAAGGCGGUCGACCAUCGUAGAAACUUGGAUGGAGUCUGGUUACUGUAGACGUCCUGCUGUUGGAGAAGCUCAGACAUUGAUGAAGUCCAGAAGAAGUUCGGAGUAAAGUUACCCAUGGCA
rnacentral:lncRNA from 1 species